rnacentral:rRNA from 1 species
UACAGAGGUCUCAAGCGUUGUUCGGAUUCAUUGGGCGUAAAGGGUGUGUAGGUGGCGCCGUAAGUGGGGUGUGAAAUUUCGGAGCUUAACUCCGAAACUGCAUUCCAUACCGCGGUGCUUGAGGACUGGAGAGGAGACUGGAAUUCAUGGUGUAGCAGUGAAAUGCGUAGAGAUCGGGAAGAACAUCGGUGGCGAAAGCGCUCUGCUGGACUGCAACUGACACUCAGGGACGAAAGCUAGGGGAGCGAAUGGG